GAUGAACGCUGGCGGCGUGCCUAAUACAUGCAAGUCGAGCGAACGGACGAGAAGCUUGCUUCUCUGAUGUUAGCGGCGGACGGGUGAGUAACACGUGGAUAACCUACCUAUAAGACUGGGAUAACUUCGGGAAACCGGAGCUAAUACCGGAUAAUAUUUUGAACCGCAUGGUUCAAAAGUGAAAGACGGUCUUGCUGUCACUUAUAGAUGGAUCCGCGCUGCAUUAGCUAGUUGGUAAGGUAACGGCUUACCAAGGCAACGAUGCAUAGCCGACCUGAGAGGGUGAUCGGCCACACUGGAACUGAGACACGGUCCAGACUCCUACGGGAGGCAGCAGUAGGGAAUCUUCCGCAAUGGGCGAAAGCCUGACGGAGCAACGCCGCGUGAGUGAUGGGGUCUUCGGAUCGUAAAACUCUGUUAUUAGGGAAGAACAUAUGUGUAAGUAACUGUGCACAUCUUGACGGUACCUAAUCAGAAAGCCACGGCUAACUACGUGCCAGCAGCCGCGGUAAUACGUAGGUGGCAAGCGUUAUCCGGAAUUAUUGGGCGUAAAGCGCGCGUAGGCGGUUUUUUAAGUCUGAUGUGAAAGCCCACGGCUCAACCGUGGAGGGUCAUUGGAAACUGGAAAACUUGAGUGCAGAAGAGGAAAGUGGAAUUCCAUGUGUAGCGGUGAAAUGCGCAGAGAUAUGGAGGAACACCAGUGGCGAAGGCGACUUUCUGGUCUGUAACUGACGCUGAUGUGCGAAAGCGUGGGGAUCAAACAGGAUUAGAUACCCUGGUAGUCCACGCCGUAAACGAUGAGUGCUAAGUGUUAGGGGGUUUCCGCCCCUUAGUGCUGCAGCUAACGCAUUAAGCACUCCGCCUGGGGAGUACGACCGCAAGGUUGAAACUCAAAGGAAUUGACGGGGACCCGCACAAGCGGUGGAGCAUGUGGUUUAAUUCGAAGCAACGCGAAGAACCUUACCAAAUCUUGACAUCCUUUGACAACUCUAGAGAUAGAGCCUUCCCCUUCGGGGGACAAAGUGACAGGUGGUGCAUGGUUGUCGUCAGCUCGUGUCGUGAGAUGUUGGGUUAAGUCCCGCAACGAGCGCAACCCUUAAGCUUAGUUGCCAUCAUUAAGUUGGGCACUCUAAGUUGACUGCCGGUGACAAACCGGAGGAAGGUGGGGAUGACGUCAAAUCAUCAUGCCCCUUAUGAUUUGGGCUACACACGUGCUACAAUGGACAAUACAAAGGGCAGCGAAACCGCGAGGUCAAGCAAAUCCCAUAAAGUUGUUCUCAGUUCGGAUUGUAGUCUGCAACUCGACUACAUGAAGCUGGAAUCGCUAGUAAUCGUAGAUCAGCAUGCUACGGUGAAUACGUUCCCGGGUCU
rnacentral:rRNA from 1 species